AAGAGACCCCAGAAAGCUCCCUUGCUCACUUCCACCACGUGAAGACACAGCAAGGAGUCAGCAGUCCAUGAGCUCGGAAUUGGGCCCUCAUCAAAUAAGGAAUCUGCCUACAUCUUGAUCUUGGACUUCCCAGUCUCCAGAAGUGUGAUAAAUCAGUUUCUGUUGCUUAUAAGCCAUCCAGUCUACGGUAUUUUGUAAUAGCAGCCUGGAAGACAAAGACAAGCACUUUUGUGAAAUCCAACAAAACUGAAGGCACUUUUAAGAGCACUAGUACUCAAAGCCAAGGGAGGCCCUGGAGGAGGCCCUGAGACACAUGUAACUCAAGUACCUCUGAGUGUAUUAGGGUGGAGGCACAGGAGAGUUCAGUAGGCUGAAAUAACACAACCCUUGCUUACAUGAACACACGAGCAAGGGGAACUCACGCAGAUUUACAAGUAAUCUGUUUUAAUUAGGUGUAAGGAAAAAAAGCCCAUUCACUCCUGCAGGAACUCCCUCCUCUUCGCACAGAUGUGGUAUCUGAAGAGCAAGACACUGCUUCUCCACUACCUCCGCACAAAUACUUCAGUCUAAUCAUCGGAGGUACAAUCUAGCGAUCGGACUGCAUUAAGUAUCUCAAGCUCCUUCCCUACCAAGCUGGGCUUCACUUGGGCACAGAACGAUUAUCAGACCUGGCUUUUCUCACUCAAAACUCUGCUCCUGCGAGUGUUCCGGGGGCCUGAGGCAGUUGGCAUGGGCUAGGCCAGAGAGCACCUGCAUUGAUUCUUAGGAGAAAAGGUCCUCUUUCUGGGCAAUACCUCCUCCGGGACCCGCAGCAGGCAGCCUGCUGCGCCUGGCAGGCCAGCUCCUGGGUGCAAGGCUCUCGCGCAGCCCAGGACAGCAGCGCGCGGGCUGCGGGCGAGUGGAGUUGCAGGGACCCGGCGGAGAGCCGCUGUCACUCAGGGAAGCUCUCGGGACUCCAGGGCUCCCGGGAAGCUCCGGACGGGCGUCGCCGAAGCCAAGAGUCCCUGCCGAGCCCCUCAGCACGGUGGGCGCCGCGCCCAGGCGAGCGCGCGAGAUAGGGCGGAGCUGGGGGCCGCCCGGGGAGGGGCGGGGCCGGGACUCGCGGCCGCGCGCGC
rnacentral:lncRNA from 1 species